rnacentral:rRNA from 1 species
AAGGCGGCCAGAGCGGUGGGGGAACACCCGUACCCAUUCCGAACACGGAAGUUAAGCCCACCAGCGUUCCGGGAAGUACUGGAGUGAGCGAUCCUCUGGGAACCGCGGGUCGCCGCCUGCCC